rnacentral:rRNA from 1 species
GUAGGUGGCAAGCGUUGUCCGGAAUUAUUGGACGUAAAGCGCGCGCAGGUGGUUCGUUUAAGUCUGAUGUGAAAGACCCCCGGGCUCAACCGGGGAGGGUCAUUGGAAACUGGGGAACUUGAGUGCAGGAGAGGAAAGUGGAAUUCCACGUGUAGCGGUGAAAUGCGUAGAUAUGUGGAGGAACACCAGUGGCGAAGGCGACUUUCUGGCCUGUAACUGACACUGAGGCGCGAAAGCGUGGGGAGCAAACAGGAUUAGAUACCCUGGUAGUCCACGCCGUAAACGAUGAGUGCUAAGUGUUGGGGGGUUUCCGCCCCUCAGUGCUGCAGCUAACGCAUUAAGCACUCCGCCUGGGGAGUACGGUCGCAAAGACUG